UGGUAACAAAUGGAAUAAGAUCCUGAGAGGUGAUGUGGGUUCGGAGGGUGAAACCUAUGGCUUUAAAAUAUGGGUAGAGAGGAAUAAUAGCCUUAGUUGAAAGAAAUUACCUCCUCACUGGAGCAUAGGGAUAGGAGUUAGGAAGAGUACCUAAUAAGGGUGUUAAAGAUGUGUAAUUGUGGAGGUGAAUGAUGGAGAGAAAGCUGACCAGCGACAGGAUUUUGGAGACAAACCAGAGUCUAAGGAAUAUUCGGACCAAAAGGCUGGAGUUGGGCCUUUUGGUAUGUUCAAGUGAGGUACUAUUAUAUUAUAUCAACUUAUAUAUUCAGUUUAACUGAGAAACUAGCUUGAAACUCGAUUAGAAACUCAGGAAAUUAAAGUGGUUUUAGGCCAUUGUCACAAGUAAACUUGUUUGCCUAGGACUGACCUAUACUGUUUGAGGAGUAGACAGCUAGUGAGAGAGGGAUUACACAGAAAUGAAUUUGAAAAUCCAGACUAUAUGUGUAAGGCAGUUAGGUCAGAAGUGAGCUCAAAGUCUGAAUAAAAAGAGGACUUAAUGUGAUCAAGAUGGGUGUUGAAUGGUUGGAAAAUUGGAAUAAUAGGACCUACGAUCAGAGAGUGGAUUUUGAAACCUUGAGAUUUCAAAAUUGGAAUGGUCAAGAUACUUGCAAAGCUAGGAUGUCAGAUGGUCAGUUAUAUAAAUAUUGAAGUGACCCAGGAUUAUAGCAGAAGCUGCGCUGGGAAUGGAUGCUGUGGGCCAGAUAUAAUAGGCUUCAGUGACUGAGGAAUGAUUAGAGGUUGGCUCAUGGCAGCUGUGCAGAUGCAAAAGAAGAAAGGGUGUAGUGAGAUAGUAGUGUGAGCCACAGAAGGGUGGUAGGGAUUACUAGAAGUUACAAAAAUUAUGAUUUGCACAUUGCAUUGCAGUGUGGGCUUGCAGAAUGCCCAGCUAAAAUGAUCCCCUCCUUUACUGAGUGAGUGCCUGCUGUAUCCUCAGCACCUUGCCCUGUGCUAAUCCAUUUACCCCUUUUGGGUCUGUCAUCUAGCAGGUAUGAGAGAAUGAGCAGCAGUCCCAAGCAAGGACAGCUAGGGGAGCUGCUGGCCCUUAGAACUGAUGGAAUGCUGUGGUCAUAUCUCAGCAGACUGGUCAGCUUGAUGUGACCCAAAAAGGUUUCUUUAGGAUCAAAAUUUUCCCUGACCUUGACCUAACUUUAUUACAUGGUACAAGCUUGUGUUGGCCGUUCCAUAAUGAACUUUGGCUUCUGAGUCGCUGAGUUGAGGAGGAUGCUGGUACUGUCCUUUAGGAAAAAACAGGCACAACACUUUAAAAACACACAUAUUGAUGAAGUAGGACAAGACCGUCUGGUUAUCUAAUUGAGCUUUUAAGAUAAAGGAUAGAUGAAAGAAAGCUCGCAUCGAUGGGGGAAAAACAAAACCACUUGGUGAAAGCCACUCUAAAGUCAGGAUACAUCCAGUUUUGUGGACAUACUGUUGAUAUCAGCUGUGCCUUUGCAAAGGAGGGCUGGAGAUUGAUGCAAAGUCCCUUAGGACUUUGAAGGCCAAGUGUAGGAGAAGAGAGUCCUAUGAACCCUGUGACAUUUCAUGUAGUCAUUGUUCUUUAGUUAUAGUCUUCAUAUGAGUCAAUAUUUCAAUGAAGGUUUAGAGCCACUGUGAUAGAAUGACCAGGCAGGCCCUCAGACAGCCCAUCCCCUCCUGUGGGGUCUGCUUUAUAUUUAUUCCUUAGGAGGAUCUGGUAGAAGACUUUGUGCAAGGCAGAAGAAAAGGAAGGACGUGGAGAAUGACUACCGCCUGUCUUCAUCUCAGCUUCACAAAGCAUGACUCAACAGAAGGAUCAUUCUCUUGAGACUCUCCAGACCACAGCCAUCAUCUGGGAGAAGCCUUGUUGUGAAAGAGUAAAUGAAGCCUCAGUGAGUGUUUGGAGUGGCACCCAUGUUUUUCUCUGGAUAUAAGGAGAGAGAAGAAGGCUGUGAAAUACCAUACUGGAGUAACAGAAAUUUGACAUUUUAGUAGAUAACUGGACCUAGAAACCUACAUUAAUGAAGGAAGCAAACCUGAGAUCUCUGAUGUUUGUGAGUGAAGAUAGGAAUGAACUCCUUAUUACCCUUAGUAAUGGAGAGAGGGGAGAAAAGUGAGGGAGGUCAUAAAAUCCUUUAUGUCCCUGGAGGAGGCCCUGAGAUUUGCUUCAUAAACCAGUUUUUAAGGUGGAUUAAAGAUGAGUUGUUGCACUACUUCCAUUGCUCUUGGUGUGAGAGUCUCUGCUAAGCACUCUUCUCAGGUACAGCUGCCUUUGUGAAAAUUUCUGUUGUGACCCCUAUUGGGAAACAACCCAGAACAAGGUUUGCAACUUAGAAAUCUCUGGAUCAGUGACAGAGUUUUAAAGGAGUUGAGGACAGAGGACAUAGCACAAAUAGUAUCAAAUAGCUCGGAUUUUUUCAUCUAGGAUGGAUGGGGUAGGGGCAGAGGGCACAGUGGUUCUAGGCAACUCCAAACACCUGGUAAGGCAGCUAUAAGGAAACAGUACAAUGAAAGGUCAACCCUUAGACCUAUUAUUUGUCAAUCCCUAGAGCAUGAUAGAAUAUCUAACAAGAAGAGCUGCUUUGGAGACAAGUCAUAAAAGAUUCUUUCAUAGAAGAGAUUUAGAAGAGGGGAACUUGGGACUCCUGGGUGGCUCAGCAGUUGAGCAUCUACCUUCGGCUCAGGGCGUGAUCCUAGAGUUCUGGGAUCGAGUCCCUGCGAGGAGCCUGCUUCUCCCUCUCCCUAUGUCUCUGCCUUCUCUGUGUCUCUCAUGAAUAAAUAAAUAAAAUCUUUUUUUAAAAAAAGGGGAACUUCCAGUUAUGUCAUAUGGGCAUUACAGCUUUUAAAAGCAUCUGUUCCCUAUAUAGGUCAUGGAGAUUGACACUAAUCUCAGCUUGUGUGCUGACUAGGCCAGUAUUGACAUAGAAGUUUCAUGCUCUUGGAGAGAUACUGCCACUCUCUUGCUUUGACAGGUGUUCAUCUGUAGUAUGAGUCCAGUACUUGAAGGAACAAGAGGACAACAAGCAUCCAGGGGACAACAGUGUGGUCUUCUAAGUAAAGAUGGCAACAGAAAAGAUCAUGGACUUGGCUAGAUUGGGCUGGGCUUGUUUGUUGUUUCAGAAUUUUAAAAAUACUUAUUUUCUUGAUGAUAAAAGUAACAUGAUCAUUGUUGAAAAAUCAGAGGUGUAAAUUAAAAAAUAAAGAACACCUAUAAAAAAAAAAAGAACACCUAUAAUCUUAUAACCUAGAAAACAACUCAAUAUUUGAGUAUGUUUCCUUUUAAGUUUUUAUUUUAAUUCCAGUUCGUAUACAGUGUUAUAUUAGUUUUAGGUGUAUAAUUUUAAAGCAAAAUUGACAUCAUACUGUGUAUGUUGUUCUCCAUCUUUUUUCAUUUGAAAAUAAACAGUGUAUUUCCAUGUCAUUACCAUCCUUUGAAAACACAGUAUUGUGUUACAUAAUAUUUCAUAUGGAUCUCACAAAAUUUAGGUAGAUGAUUACAUGCUCCUGGACAUUUUGCAUAUUACCAGUUUUGCCUAUAAAAUGUAAUAAACAUUGUACAUUAAUCAUUAUGUACAUUCUUAAUUAUUUCUUUGCAGUAAAUUUCUAGAAUUGGGAUUGCUGAGUUUCAGUGAUGAGACCAUUAUUUGGGCAUCUGAAAGAUGUUGAAUUGUCCCCAAUAUAGUUGUACAAAUUAUAUUCCCAUCAGUGGUGUAUAAAUGUGUGUAUUUCUCUACACAUUCAUCAAAAUAUGACCUUUCUCUCUUUUCAUAAAUCUCUGCUCAUUGAAUAGGUAAAAAUAUAUAUCUGUUCUAUUAGAGAUUUUUAUUUGUAAUUUACAUACAGUAAAAUUCAGCCCUGAUUCAUAGUCCUAUGGUUAUUUUUUUUUAAGAUUUUACUUUUUUGAGAGCACGCAGGAGCAAUGGGGAGGGGCAGAGGGAAAAGCAGACUCUCCACCGGGCAGGGGAUGGGGUGAGAGAGGCUGGCUCCAUCCCAGGACCCUUAGAUCAUGACCUGAACUGAAGACCUAUGCUUAACCCAUUGAGCCACCCAAGCACCCCAUUUCUAUGGGUUUUGACAAGUAUAAUCAUGUAUAUAUACUACUUUAGUAUCAUUCAAAAACAGUUUUAUUACUAAUACUUUCUCUCAAUUUUUCUUUUUGUUGUAAACCUCUUUCCCCUUUACCAAUCCCUGAAAACCACUGAUUUGCUUUCCAUCCCUAUGGUUUUUCCCUUUCCAGAGGUCAUAUGAUUGAAAUCAUGCAAUAUGUAGAUAUUUUGGUCUGGUUUCUUUCACUUAGUGAAAUGCAUUUAAGAUCCAUCCAUGUUAUGAGAAUUAUUAGUUUAUUCCUUUUUAUUGUUAUAUUUCAUUGCAUGAAUGUACCACAGUUUUUUAUCCAUUCACUAAUUGAUGGACAUGUAAGAUGUUUCCAGUUUGGGCAAUUAUGAAUAAAAUUUCUAUAAAC
rnacentral:lncRNA from 1 species